rnacentral:rRNA from 1 species
AUUGAACGCUGGCGGCAGGCCUAACACAUGCAAGUCGAACGAGUGGCGGACGGGUGAGUAAUGUCUGGGAAACUGCCUGAUGGAGGGGGAUAACUACUGGAAACGGUAGCUAAUACCGCAUACCAUCAGAUGUGCCCAGAUGGGAUUAGCUAGUUGGUGGGGUAACGGCUCACCAAGGCGACGAUCCCUAGCUGGUCUGAGAGGAUGACCAGCCACACUGCAACUUAGACACGGUCCAGACUCCUACGGGAGGCAGCAGGGGGGAAUAGUGCACAAUGGGAGCAAGCCUGAUGCAGCCAUGCCGCGUGGAGGAAGGGGGGCUUCGGGUUUUAAAGUACUUUCAGCGGUGAGGCGUUACCCGCAGAAGAAGCACCGGCUAACUCCGUGCCAGCAGCCGCGGUAAUAC